UGGUUAUUCGCACAGCUCCAGCGGCGAGUCCCUCUAUUUUCAGUGUACAGAAGUCUCUUUUCAGUGCAGAGAUGGCAGAAGGCGCAAUGAAGAUGCAAUAGAAAGCAGAGAGGUUGAAUGGGAGUUAUUGGGGAGCCAUUCGAGGGAAUAGGAGGAUUCCUGUGGUGUGAUUAGAAUAUUGACCAGCCUGGAUACAAGCUCACAGACAGAUUUGACUGUUGUGAUGUUGUGAGUGUCCUGGCCUCUACAGUGCCAAAGGGGUUCUGCAAUCAAGUCCUUCUCCCAGCUCCUUGCAACCUCCUGCUUUCCCCUCCCCCACAGCUGGAGUUUGGAAACUAAGGGAAGAAAAUGACGGCAUGAAGACUGACGGACAAGCUAGCCAGUGGAGGACACCCAUCGCAUUUAGUGCAGGGGAUGGAUUUCACUUGGUAAACAGCUAUUCAAGUGUCUCUGAAAAGAAAGGAUUUACAAACAAGAGCAGCACAAAAGCUUCAAUCAACUCCCACUGUCAAUGGUGCUCUAUCCAGAGAACAUCACCUGCUACUGAUUUACAGUUUUAAGUGAGUCAGGGUAUUGAGGCUAGAAGAACUGGAAGGGGGAUAGUUAAACUCUAUGCGAAGUUUGGAAAACAGUGUAAUGUAUCCAACCAAUUCCUACUAUCCUAAUUUAGGACACAUGUACUGCAGCUAUUAACUGGCCAACUUGGUUAAGCCACUGUAAAUCUUAAUUCCUAUCUGAGACAACACCCUUCACUAAACCCAACAAAAGUUUUCUUUUGUGCAUGUUUAGCCAUGGAUUGUCCGUUCAUGUGCCCGUCAUGGAGUCACCAGGGCGAUGCUCUGGAACUACUCCCUAUGA